UGAUACUACAGGCCAGUGGCGGCGGGAAUACGGAGGGGGCAAGCGGUAGUAGGAAUUACUGUGCGUAAAGGGGGCGUAGGCGGGAAUGAAAGUAAGAUGUGAAAAACCGGUGCUCAACAACGGAAUGGCAUCUGAAACUGCAUUUCUGGAGGGAUGGCGGAGAAAACGGAAUUCCACGUGUAGCGGUGAAAUGCGUAGAUAUGUGGAAGAACACCUGUGGCGAAAGCGGUUUUCUAGCUUAAACCUGACGCUGAGGCACGAAAGCAAGGGGAGCAAACAGGAUUAGAUACCCUGGUAGUC
rnacentral:rRNA from 1 species